GAUAGUUCUUAGACUUUUCUUUAAUAACUCAGCUAUCCACAGACAAGGAGGUCUGUGGAAGUGAGAUAUGGGACAAGGAUGUCCCGUAUCGAACGGUAGCGGCAGAUGUCACUGCUUAUAUGAAAAGUCUUAGAAAUAUCCUAUUGAAGC
rnacentral:ncRNA from 1 species